rnacentral:rRNA from 1 species
CCUACGGGUGGCAGCAGUGAGGAAUAUUGGUCAAUGGACGCAAGUCUGAACCAGCCAUGCCGCGUGCAGGAAGACGGCUCUAUGAGUUGUAAACUGCGUUUGUACGAGGGUAAACGGGGAUACGCGUAUCUGUCUGAAAGGGACGUACGAAUAAGGAUCGGCUAACUCCGUGCCAGCAGCCGCGGGAAUACGGAGGUUUCAAGCGUUAUCCGGAUUUAAGGGGGGUAAAGGGGGCGGAGGCGGUCGGUUAAGUUAGAGGUGAAAUCCCGCGGCUCAACUUCGGAAUUGCCUCUGAUACUGUUCGGCUAGAGCGUAGUUGCGGUAGGCGGCAUGUCUGGUGUAGCGGUGACAUGCUUAGAGAUCAUACAGAACACCGAUUGCGAAGGCAGCUUACCAAGCUACUUCUGACGUUGAGGCACGAAAGCGUGGGGAGCAAACAGGAUUAGAUACCCUAGUAGUC